AGACUUCUUGUUUUUUUGGCAUAGGGUCAUAGACUAUGUAUGAAAUUUUUAGAGCCAUAUCCGCUGGUUUAAUGAGGGUAAAGGCCUAAAAGUUAUGCUUGAAAUAGGACCAAAAAUUCAUUAGUAUGCUAAUAAUGGGCAAACUAAAUAUUGCUAAAAUUAACUAAAGGUCUAGUUCACUAAGGGAGGAAGUCUAAUUCAAAUAACAUUAUGUUAUUUUAAAGAGAACGUCAUGUCGAAUUUUAGUUGGAUCCAUCCAACAAUGUAAAAAAAACAAGAGCGUGGUGCUAAGUUGGAAAUUUUAGAGGUUUAAUUUUUUUUUUUUUUGGAUUUAUUCAAAGUUUGUUUAAUUUUUUUAGAAAUGUUAAAAAAACCUUGG
rnacentral:lncRNA from 1 species